GUUGGUGUGGUGUAAUGGUUUGAGCAUUGGACUACAACUCUGGAGAUCAGAGUUCAAUUCUCUGCUCAGCCA